CCCUUCGGAAUUAGAGGAGUUGUUUGGUGAAUUUUACAAGUUCUUUGACUUUCUAAAUUUCUUGAAUAGUAUACGUAUUCGAGAAGAAUGACCUAUCUAGAAAUCCGUGAAAAUAAGAGAUGUAGGCCAUUUGGUUUGUAUAGUUUAGUGGAAACACCUACUAAUUUUGGUGGUAAGCAGCUUUCUUCAACGUGGUGUGGUGAUUAGGAGGAAAUAGUUGGAGUCUCUUGGGUAAUUUUUUAGGAGAGUCAUUGCCAUUAAUCUCAGGCUGCCGACUUAUUUGGAGUAUAACCUCGGUGGGGCGGGGUCGGCUGUGGCUCAAUCCCAUCUUGAGGAGUGUCUACAUUAAUGCUAUUUGUUUCAAUGUUUUAGACGCAAACUUUUGAAUCCUUCUUGGAAUAUGUGGUAAAAUUAUUGCACAUCUUUGAAUGGUAUCUUACCGUGUAUUAAAGUUUCUAAAGAUCCCUCUGCCUUUCUAGAAUAGUUCAGUUCAAUAGCAGGGUAUUUGGUUUUGGCCGGACUAAGAAUUACCAUUUCUUGCAGACAUGUAAAGCAUGAUAAUGCCAUAUACAAAGAAUAAUUAGGUCAACAAAAGUGUAAUUGCAGACAUGAAUUACCAAGAUUUGUUAACUUACGAUACACAUCAAGAAGUGAAAAUGUGCAUAUUGUUUUCUAGUGUUUUAAAAAGCGCACGCCAUGGCGCUGAGGCGACGCGUAAGGCCUGCACUUUGAGGGGAUGGGCUAUGGCACAGAACCCAAAAAAGCAGUGAAGGCGCUGAAGCGCAUGCCAAGGCGCAUGGCGCCGAGGCGAGUGCUUUUCGCUGUGAGCCCAAAAAACUAUCUCACCCGCACAUAUGAGCCAAAAAUCGAUCUCACCCAUACAUAAAAGGUUGCGAUACACUGAAUAAUUCUUAUUUUAAGUCAUCCCAACCCUAAUUGAUCAGGAAAUUCAGCGCGACAGCAGCUUCGAUCGACAGCAGGUAGCAGCUCCUCUCCUUUUCGAUCGACGAAUUCUUCUUCCAGGCAAACAAGUGAUCCUAGCAGUGGUUUUACAACUGUUGAGAAGGAUCUCCCUGGGGGAUUGAUGCCCAAGCUUGGAGACAGAAAGGGACAGUAAAGAUAAUAUGACCCGCUGGCAGUUGAAAGAAAAAGAACAUAAUAUGACCCGUGAGGCAAAUGUCGGACACAGCAUGCCUCUUUUUUAAGGAAUGAUAUCGAGCUUGGGGUUUGUUCGUACGAUCAAGGCGAAGCUAGAAAAGCCAUGGAGAAAUCAAAUGACAAAGGUGAUAGAAUUUUUUUUUUUUUGAUGACACAUGUGAGUUUGUGGAAUAGUGAAAUUUGAAUUCCAUCAAAUGAUCUGAUAUAGCAUAAGUGGUAGCUUGUUGAAUGUUUAACUCACUAUGAGGAUGUGCAAUGGGUUGAGUAGCUAUAUUGGGAUUAUAUAUAUAGGCGUAAGCGAAACCAUUGGUCUCUAACUCUGCUGAUUGCAGACUCAUUUGGCAUUGGUGGUUUGUAGUGAACUAGAUAUGAUCUAUUUAGAUUUACUUUUUGUGUAUGUAAUAAGCAGUUUAGUCAAGACAUGAUAAUGAAAUUGUGAGAGGGCUUUUAGAGCAUAGGUAAUUGACUAAUACAAUUUUAUGGAGACAGCUUGUUUGGAAAUUUUGAAAAAAAUAGAAGAAAAGAAAAUUGUUUGGAAGUUCAAUGGCCACAGAAUAGGUUGUGUGAUUGCAAUUUGAGUGUUAUGGAGUUAUAUGUGGAUGUGGAAGUUCUUAUGAUGAUUUUACGAUUGUAUUUCUACUCAUGCAGAUGGGAUUUAUGUUUUAGUUUUAGAUGAAAUAAUCGUUUGCUUAAGAGUUUUGUGGCGCAAUUAUGCAAUAGAAGAAGCUAGUUGGGAACGUGAAGAGAAGCACAAGAUUUAUCCACAUUUGUAUUGAUGAGGUUAGUAUGCAAUUUUGAGGACGAAUUUUUUAUUAAGGUGGGUAGGGUGUUACGCCCUGACUUUUCUUAUACCUAAUAAUUAUUUUCCUUUAUAAAAAAAAGGAAAUAGUUUUUCCUUGUACGAUCGGGAUGUUACUCCGUAAUUGCUUAUACUGUGUGCAUUAUAAGUAUUCAUGCCGUUAUAGUAAUUCUAGGAAUUCUAAGACUGCUUUUGGUCUAAUAUUUUGUGUUAUGGUAAUAAUAUAAAAGUGGGUAGGGUGGUUAAGUGUGUAUCGGUAUUAAAAAAAGUGUUAAGGAGAUAAUAGUCAUCGGGCAACACAAUUGCAGUAACAUCAUUUUUUCUCAUAGGUUUGGGAUAUGUUAUUGGAGGAGUGUGUCGCAAGUGAUUUUCUAUAUUAUUGGGAUGGUCACACAUGGUUUAUGCAUACCUUAGUGACUGAAUGUAGUUGAACUAUGAUGGUAUUGAAUUUGAAGAAAUAGUAUAUGUGGUUGUACACUUCGAAAUUGAUUUAAGAGCGCAACUUAGAGGACUGCUUCGAUUUCGUAUGGAGGAUGGGCUAGAUUAAUUGUGUGAGGUUGUGUUAAGGUUUUGUUAUUUAUAAUGCUCCCUACAUCCCGGAUACUCUUUAAUUGUUGUUCUUUGAUUGGUUCAUCAUUUCUAUACUUGGUAUCUUAGUUGAGACGUGGUUAUGUUUUGUUAGGUGGGGUCAAUAAUUAUGCUUGUCUAAGAAAAUAAUCUAGGAAUUGUUGAUGUUUAUUAGGAGAUGAAUAAUGGUAAGAAUGUUCAUGAUUCUGAUGUUACGUCGUUCCCAUCCGGGGAAAAAUAAAAAUGACGAUGAUGUUUUAAAGUGAGAAUAGUUUAUUACUGAAAUUUUGGGUUUUUCUAAUCGUAGUAGUAGCAUUUCGGUUUUGAGAACUUGAUAGUAAAUGGGUAGGUUUUGGCAAGGUUACGGCUGCUUGAUUGGAAAGGCCAUGUAAUGGGCUAUGGCUAUAUCAAAAUGUGAGUCUUUGGGCUGGUUUGAGUAUGUAGAAGGGGAUUAUUAUAAUUUAUUUGGUGAUUAGACAGUAAAGUGAUUGCACCAAUGGUGAUUUGAAAGUUUAAUGCAAUACAAUAUCACUAUUGUGGAAAUAUGGGAAGCUUAGGAAAAAGAAAAUAUGCGUGGUUAAACUUAUGAGAUUAGGGUUGUUUUCGUGUCGUGGAAUUAAAUAUGGAGUAUUACCGACUUGAUGAUUAGUAGUUUUGGACUUCUCAAUGUAUUUGAGCUAAUUAUUUAAACUUUGACUUUUGGGGAUAAAUUAGAGAUGUGGUUUUGAAAUGACAAGGGAAUAUUUUAAUGCAAGAUUCAAUGCUGUUACGUUUUGGGUUAGUGUGCAUGGAGUCGGUCCUCAAGAUACGGGGUGCAAUUUAAGGAUUUUAGGCGGUGAUGUUUAUUAUAUCUUCUCUUGGGAAGUCAAACUAGGGGCUAGUUAGUUCGAUUAUUAGUUUUGAAGACAUGAGUUUGGGUAGUUCACUAAAGGUUGUAGAUAAGUAUGCAUGGACCCUUGACAUUUUCUUUUGGAUGAUUCAGUGGAGUAAGAUUUGUUUAGACUUUAACAAAAUCAUUUGUACCCGCCUUGUACUUCGCUUGAGGUGAUCAAAUCACAUUGCAUUUAUUGAAUAAGUCUGGUCUGGCCACCGUUGUUGAAUAUUUGGAAUAGGCUAUGAAGUUUGGAAGUUUGUUGGGGCUUAGGACUUGUGAUACUUGGAUAAAUAUCACUGUAUUUGAGGAUUAAGGAAGUGGGUAAUAGAAAUCUGGGCUUUUGAG